UACGAGGGGGGCGAGCGUUGUUCGGAAUUAUUGGGCGUAAAGCGUGCGCAGGCGGUUGUGUAAGUCAGAUGUGAAAUCCCCGGGCUCAACCUGGGAAUUGCAUUUGAGACUGCACGGCUAGAGUGUGUCAGAGGGGGGUAGAAUUCCACGUGUAGCAGUGAAAUGCGUAGAGAUGUGGAGGAAUACCGAUGGCGAAGGCAGCCCCCUGGGAUAACACUGACGCUCAUGCACGAAAGCGUGGGGAGCAAACAGG
rnacentral:rRNA from 1 species